UACAGAGGUGGCAAGCGUUGUUCGGAAUUACUGGGCGUAAAGGGCGCGUAGGCGGUUCGGUAAGUCCUGUGUGAAAUCCCUCGGCUCAACUGAGGAACUGCACGGGAGACUGCCGGGCUUGAGUUCGGGAGAGGGAAGCGGAAUUCCGGGUGUAGCGGUGAAAUGCGUAGAUAUCCGGAGGAACACCGGUGGCGAAGGCGGCUCCUGGACCGACACUGACGCUGAGGCGCGAAAGCUAGGGGAGCAAACGGG
rnacentral:rRNA from 1 species